UUCUAAGGAGACUCGUUUCUUUAGAAACAGUGUCAGCGCAGGGAUUUGUGGAAAGAUGUUGUUUAAUUUUGAGGGUCCGGGCGGACGCGGUUCGCUUUUAAGCCGCCGGCCAUGCAGAUCGGAUUGGGAGCGAACAGCCCCGAUGCAGGAAGCAUGACGGCAGUUUGAAGACGGGCGGCGUCCCAAAGAACCUUCAAACGGUGGAAAAGAGAAUAGGACGACCGAUUCCCAGGCAAAGCGUGGGGUAUAGCUUUCAGGCUGAGCAGUCCGAGAACAGGAGAUUUUCCUGAACUUGCGCCGCGCAGCGGUGAACUUGCCGCUACGGUGAGUAGGGGGUGUAGCUCAGCUGGGAGAGCACCUGCUUUGCACGCAGGGGGUCAGGAGUUCGAUUCUCCUCAUCUCCACCACGCCUGCGGCGGAUAUGACGCGCCAAGGCAGCCGAAAACGAAAAUGCAAAGCCGCGAGGCCAAGCGUCGACGUUGAGGAAGCCCAAGCAAUGCAUGCGGUUGCAGAACAAAUGGGCCCGGGCGCCAAAUGGCCCGGGCGGGAACGGACGACCGAGAUGCUCGGAUUGCAUGGGCUCAUAGCUCAGGUGGUUAGAGCGUGCGCCUGAUAAGCGCAAGGUCGGUGGUUCGAGUCCACUUGAGCCCACCAGCGGGCAGUGCCCGCACACAAUUCGCGGGAAGUUUGUUCAAAGCAGAGGUCGGCCGCCGCGAAAGCGAGACGGAUCGAAGCAAGAACAGAUGGAUCGCAAAACCGCUUGCAAAAGAGGUAAGAUUUCAGGCUGAGCAGCCGCGUAAGCAGCGACUUUCCUGAACUUGCCUCCGCCGCAGGCGGGGGGACCUUGAAAACUGAAUAAUGUUCUAAUCUGCAAUUUUUUUAAUGAACGAAGCGAGUAGCGGCGGAAGUUUCAGGCUGAGCAGCUGUGUAAGCAGUAGGCUUGCUUGAACAUACGUCUUGCGAAGCAAGUUCGUUGGGUAAAAUUCCGAUUGACACAUAAGGUCAAGCUACAAAGAGCGCAAGGGGAAUGCCUUGGCACCAGGAGCCGAUGAAGGACGCAGCGAUCUGCGAAAAGCCACGGGGAGUCGAAAGCAGGCAUUGAUCCGUGGAUAUCCGAAUGGGGCAACCCGGCGGA
rnacentral:misc_RNA from 1 species